rnacentral:rRNA from 1 species
UAACGAGUUUUGAAAUGGGUUGUUGCUGGCCUUCCGAGGCAUGUGCACGCCCUGCUCAUCCACUCUACACCUGUGCACUUACUGUAGGUUGGCGUGGGUUUCUAGCCUCCGGGUUGGAAGCAUUCUGCCGGCCUAUGUACACUACAAACUCUUAAAGUAUCAGAAUGUAAACGCGUCUAACGCAUCUUAAUACAACUUUCAGCAACGGAUCUCUUGGCUCUCGCAUCGAUGAAGAACGCAGCGAAAUGCGAUAAGUAAUGUGAAUUGCAGAAUUCAGUGAAUCAUCGAAUCUUUGAACGCACCUUGCGCUCCUUGGUAUUCCGAGGAGCAUGCCUGUUUGAGUGUCAUGAAAUUCUCAACCCAUAAAUCCUUGUGAUCUAUGGGCUUGGAUUUGGAGGCUUGCUGGCCCUAGCGGUCGGCUCCUCUUGAAUGCAUUAGCUUGAUUCCGUGCGGAUCGGCUCUCAGUGUGAUAAUUGUCUACGCUGUGACCGUGAAGCGUUUUGGCAAGCUUCUAACCGUCCAUUAGGACAAUUUUAUAACAUCUGACCUCAAAUCAGGUAGGACUACCCGCUGAACUUAAGCAUAUCAAUAAGCGGAGGAAAAGAAACUAACAAGGAUUCCCCUAGUAACUGCGAGUGAAGCGGGAAAAGCUCAAAUUUAAAAUCUGGCGGUCUUUGGCCGUCCGAGUUGUAGUCUGGAGAAGCGUCUUCCGCGUUGGACCGUGUACAAGUCUCUUGGAACAGAGCGUCAUAGAGGGUGAGAAU